UUGUUGGUGAGGUAACGGCUCACCAAGCCUUCGAUGGAUAGGGGUUCUGAGAGGAAGGUCCCCCACAUUGGAACUGAGACACGGUCCAAACUCCUACGGGAGGCAGCAGUGAGGAAUAUUGGUCAAUGGGCGUUAGCCUGAACCAGCCAAGUAGCGUGAAGGAUGAAGGCUCUAUGGGUCGUAAACUUCUUUUAUAUAAGAAUAAAGUGCAGUAUGUAUACUGUUUUGUAUGUAUUAUAUGAAUAAGGAUCGGCUAACUCCGUGCCAGCAGCCGCGGUAAUACGGAGGAUCCGAGCGUUAUCCGGAUUUAUUGGGUUUAAAGGGAGCGUAGGUGGACUGGUAAGUCAGUUGUGAAAGUUUGCGGCUCAACCGCAAAAUUGCAGUUGAUACUGUCAGUCUUGAGUACAGUAGAGGUGGGCGGAAUUCGUGGUGUAGCGGUGAAAUGCUUAGAUAUCACGAAGAACUCCGAUUGC
rnacentral:rRNA from 1 species